UGGGGAAUAUUGCACAAUGGGCGCAAGCCUGAUGCAGCCAUGCCGCGUGUAUGAAGAAGGCCUUCGGGUUGUAAAGUACUUUCAGUCGGGAGGAAGGUGUCAAGGUUAAUAACCUUGGCAAUUGACGUUACCGACAGAAGAAGCACCGGCUAACUCCGUGCCAGCAGCCGCGGUAAUACGGAGGGUGCAAGCGUUAAUCGGAAUUACUGGGCGUAAAGCGCACGCAGGCGGUUGAUUGAGUCAGAUGUGAAAUCCCCGGGCUUAACCCGGGAAUUGCAUCUGAUACUGGUCAGCUAGAGUCUUGUAGAGGGGGGUAGAAUUCCAUGUGUAGCGGUGAAAUGCGUAGAGAUGUGGAGGAAUACCGGUGGCGAAGGCGGCCCCCUGGACAAAGACUGACGCUCAGGUGCGAUAGCGUGGGGAGCAAACAGG
rnacentral:rRNA from 1 species